rnacentral:lncRNA from 1 species
CAGGAUAUGAUUUAUAGCAUGAAUUAGCUGCUUUUGUGUGAUGAAGGGUAUAAUUAAACUCUGGUAGCAGCAUGCGGCCAUGGCAAAUGGCUUGGCAGAGAGCUGAUCUCUGGAAGCUGGCUUACACGGAACAGGGUUUGUGUUGCUGGUGCCACCGACAGGUCAGCAGGACAGCCUGGUCCCUGAGCAGGCUCCUUCCUAUCUUUGUCAAGCUCAAAGGCAACACGCGGGUUUACAAGGAGCAAGGCAAGCCAGAAGCUUUGAAGGUCUCAGUGAGAAAAAUCUUGGUUACAGAAGUAAGUCUUGCCAUUGAAUCAGUACAUGCUGCAUGGUAUGUUUUGCAAAGAUGUGGCUAAUGUGGGGGUGGCAGGAAG